rnacentral:lncRNA from 1 species
AGAAAGAACGAUUUCUGAAAGUGGAGGCAUAAUUAAAGUACCACCGUAACAAUUUAGUAAUAUAAUGGACGAAAAGUAAAGUUUGGUCUUAGUCCAAGGACCAUUGCUACAAUUUUGUCUACUUGAUAUAAAGGGAAUAUACUGAAAUUGAACCAACUUUACUACAAAGGCUUCUUUUUUUCGUGUGUUUUUUUUUUUUUUUCUUUUUAUAUCUUAUGAUCCUUUUUAAUGGGUGAAAGGUUGGUGAUCCAUGUGAAUUAGUUUGGUUGUAUUGUACAUAAUAUCCUGAUGGGCAAGUUGGAAGCUUUUAUAGAAAUUACAAUUUCUUUUAGUCAUAACAACAAAAUGCUUUCAUCUUAUAAUGCUUCCUCCAAAAUUUUGCAUCGAUCUCUACCUCAUGCAAAGUGUAUUCAACUUCUUUCAACUCCCUAAUGUCAAUGUAUGUCUUCAAGUGACUAGAUUAACCCUUCUAAUUUCU